UCCAGACUCCUACGGGAGGCAGCAGUGAGGAAUAUUGGUCAAUGGGCUUACGCCUGAACCAGCCAAGUCGCGUGAGGGAAGACUGCCCUAUGGGUUGUAAACCUCUUUUGUCAGGGAGCAACGCCGGCUACGUGUAGCCGGACUGAGAGUACCUGAAGAAAAAGCAUCGGCUAACUCCGUGCCAGCAGCCGCGGUAAUACGGAGGAUGCGAGCGUUAUCCGGAUUUAUUGGGUUUAAAGGGUGCGUAGGCGGGCUUUUAAGUCAGCGGUAAAAAUUCGGGGCUCAACCCCGUCCGGCCGUUGAAACUGGGGGCCUUGAGUGGGCGAGAAGAAGGCGGAAUGCGUGGUGUAGCGGUGAAAUGCAUAGAUAUCACGCAGAACCCCGAUUGCGAAGGCAGCAUACCGGCGCCCAACUGACGCUCAGGCGCGAAAGCGUGGGUAUCGAACAGGAUUAGAUACCCCAGUA
rnacentral:rRNA from 1 species